rnacentral:rRNA from 1 species
GACGAACGCUGGCGGCGCGCCUAACACAUGCAAGUCGAGCGAAGCGGCGGACGGGUGAGUAACACGUGAGUAACCUGCCUUAGACCUUGGGAUAGCCUCGGGAAACCGGGACUAACACCAAAUGGUCUAAGAUGGACUCGCGUCGCAUUAGCUAGUUGGUGAGGUAACGGCCCACCAACGCGACGAGGGGUAGCCGGCCUUAGUGGGUGAACUGGCACAUUGGAACUGGGAAACGGUCCAAGCUCUACGGGAAGCAGCAGUGGGGGAUCUUGCACAAUGGAGGGAACGCUGAUGCAACGACGGCGCGUGAGCUGAGAAAGCUUUCGAGUCGUAAAAUUCUGUUGUUAGAGAAGUGUUAUGGGUAGAAAAUCUACCAAGUGACGGUAACUGACCAGAAAGGGACGGCUAACUACGUCCAGCAGCCGCGGUAAUAC